rnacentral:rRNA from 1 species
AUUGAACGCUAGCGGGAUGCUUUACACAUGCAAGUCGAACGAGUGGCGGACGGGUGAGUAAUAUAUCGGAAGUGCCCAGUAGCGGGGGAUAACUACUCGAAAGAGUGGCUAAUACCGCAUACUAUCGGAUAACCCAUAUGGGAUUAGCUAGUAGGUGAGGUAAUGGCUCACCUAGGCGACGAUCCCUAGCUGGUCUGAGAGGAUGAUCAGCCAAACGGGGACUGAGAACAGGCCGAGACUCACAGGGAGGCAGCAGUGGGGAAUAUUGCACAAUGGGCGAAAGCAUGAUGCAGCCAUGCCGCGUGUAUGAAGAAGGCCCUAGGGUUGUAAAGUACUUUCAGUCGGGAGGCGUUACCGACAGAAGAAGCACCGGCUAACUCCGUGCCAGCAGCCGCGGUAAUAC